rnacentral:tRNA from 1 species
GGGCGUCGGGCACCAGGUGGGUGCCGUUGGGUCGGUACCCCAGCUUCUCGGAGACCGCCCGGGAGGCGUCGUUCCAGGCGUAGGCGCCGC